rnacentral:rRNA from 1 species
UACGGAGGGGGCAAGCGUUGUUCGGAAUUACUGGGCGUAAAGGGCGCGCAGGCGGCUGCUCAAGUCAGGCGUGAAAGGCCUGGGCUCAACCCGGGAAUUGCGCUUGAGACUGGGCUGGCUUGAGUGCGGGAGAGGAUGGUGGAAUUCCCGGGUGUAGAGGUGAAAAUUCGUAGAUAUCGGGAGGAACACCAGUGGCGAAGGCGGAGACCUGGGCCGAUACUGACGCUGAGGUGCGAAAAGCGUGGGGGAGCAAACAGG